rnacentral:lncRNA from 1 species
CAGAGAUUUAAAGACUCAUAGUAUGACAAUAUCACUUCAACCAUGUACAUAUCGCAUGGUAGGUUCCAAAAGGAGGCGGUUCCAUCGUCUGAAGAAGUAGAUUCAGUCCGUUGACGACGAGUGGCUUCAAGAGGAGUGAGAGAAAUAGUAAAGGCGGAGAGAAGAAGAAGAAGAUUUUAGAGAGAGAAAUACCAGAACAAAAGAUAUGGGAGUUGGGAGAAAAAGAAGGAAGAAGAAGAAGAAGAUUUCACGCGUUUAAAAGAAACCACCAGAUUUGCCAUAUCAGCCCAUUAAUACUAAUCCCUUAAAUUAAGGAAU